rnacentral:lncRNA from 1 species
UUAAGGUUCACCCGGUAAAGGCUUAGCUAAGCCCGCGGCCUGAAAACCAGUUCCAGGAGGGGCUGGUCGCAUCGCGAGGCCUAGCACUUCGUCCUUAAGGGCCGCCGCACCAUCGGACGGAGCUUCAACCGAGAACUGAUGCAGUAUGAUGGUUAAGAAGAUUAACA